rnacentral:rRNA from 1 species
UACAGAGGGUGCAAGCGUUAUCCGGAUUCACUGGGUUUAAAGGGUGCGUAGGUGGGCAGGUAAGUCAGUGGUGAAAUCUCCGAGCUUAACUCGGAAACUGCCGUUGAUACUAUUUGUCUUGAAUAUUGUGGAGGUAAGCGGAAUAUGUCAUGUAGCGGUGAAAUGCUUAGAUAUGACAUAGAACACCAAUUGCGAAGGCAGCUUACUACACAACGAUUGACGCUGAGGCACGAAAGCGUGGGGAUCAAACAGG